AGCAGCCGCGGUAAUUCCAGCUCCAAUAGCGUAUAUUAAAGUUGUUGCAGUUAAAAAGCUCGUAGUUGAAUUUCGGGAUUGACACAUCGGUCGUGCCUUAAGGGGUAUGAACUGGUGUAGUCAAUUUCUCACCUUCUGGAGAACCGCGAUGCCCUUAAUUGGGUGUCACGGGGAACCAGGACCUUUACUUUGAAAAAUUAGAGUGUUUAAAGCAGGCAUUUUGCUUGAAUACAUUAGCAUGGAAUAAUAAAAUAGGACGGCAUGAUUCUAUUUUGUUGGUUUCUAGGAUCACCGUAAUGAUUAAUAGGGAUAGUUGGGGGCAUUAGUAUUCAAUUGUCAGAGGUGAAAUUCUUGGAUUUAUUGAAGACUAACUACUGCGAAAGCAUUUGCCAAGGAUGUUUUCAUUAAUCAAGAACGAAAGUUAGGGGAUCGAAGACGAUCAGAUACCGUCGUAGUCUUAACCAUAAACUAUGCCGACUAGGAAUCAGACGAUGUUAAUUUUUAAUGACUCGUUUGGCAC
rnacentral:rRNA from 1 species